GUCAGUAGCCAUACAACCUGCAACUCAGAGGAAGUAAUCUACCUGAAGCUAAGCAGGUUGGGGCCUGGCCAGUACUUGGAUGGGGGACCAACUCAGAAAGCUGGGUUGCUGAGG
rnacentral:rRNA from 1 species